rnacentral:rRNA from 1 species
AUUGAACGCUGGCGGAAUGCUUUACACAUGCAAGUCGAGCGGCAGCGCGGUCUUCGGACUGGCGGCGAGCGGCGAACGGGUGAGUAAUACAUCGGAACAUGCCCAGUCGUGGGGGAUAACACUUCGAAAGAUGUGCUAAUACCGCAUAUGCUCUGAGGAGGAAAGUAGGGGAUCGAAAGACCUUACGCUUUUGGAGCGGCCGAUGUCUGAUUAGCUAGUUGGUGGGGUAAGGGCCUACCAAGGCGACGAUCAGUAGUUGGUCUGAGAGGACGACCAGCCACACUGGGACUGAGACACGGCCCAGACUCCUACGGGAGGCAGCAGUGGGGAAUUUUGGACAAUGGGCGCAAGCCUGAUCCAGCAAUGCCGCGUGAGUG